UCCCCGCGCGCUGCCUCAGGCCGUGCGGGGCCGCCCCGCGCUGCCUCUCUCCUGCCGCGGGGUUCGGGUGUAUUUUGCCCCCCUCGUGGCGCCCGGGAGUCUCCACAGCGAAGGGCGUGAAGCGUUUUGGGGUAAACGAGCUGUGUUUUUAUUCACAAGGCGACAGGCUUCCGCCGCCUGGCUGGCCUCGGGGAAAGGCUUUUCCGAGUUCCCCGCGGGAAUGGCUGAGCUGGGAGAGACGAGGACUGUUGAAAAGCAGCAGAUCGCUCUAGGAACUGCCUCUAGAGAAGCAGUUGGCAGCUGAGCUGCGAGUGUGGAGGGCUGAGGCCUCUGUCGUGUUCGUAAUUAAGAGCCUGGAAGCGCCGCGUGAGGCCUGAGGGGGCAGCGCCUUGGGGUGCCCUGGCAGGGCCCUCGAGUGACCUUGAAGGCUAAAGCGGGAGGAGAGGACACCGGGACGGCGCUUGGAACGCAGCACCCGCGCUGCGGAGCUUCGUGCGUGGUGGAUUUCUGCUGGGAAAGGCCCUCGCACGCCCCUGGAUGACGGCCGAAGUUAAUCGGGUUUAUUUUGCGUUUGGCCUCAGCUGGCAGGCAGGCUCAGGCAGCUGCCAGAUGGGAGCGGUGUCAGUAAAUCAUGGCUUAAUCCAGCGAUGAGAUGAUUUCAGGCAGUGGUCAUCUGAACUGUGAUAAAUGUGUACGUUUACAUCUAAAAAAAGCACAAUCCAACAUUGUUUCUUUUUUUUUGGGGUUGGAUGCGGUGUACCACAAAAAGCACCCAAACCUCUCCUGAACUUCACUGACACAAAUUCUUAGUUCAACAGAUCGCUUGGAAAACCAGCAGUCAGUCAGGAUUUUUGACAUAACAUUGAAAUGCCUGUGACUGAAAUGCUUUCUUCUGAAGUUUAGUAUGGAAAACAGGCAGAAAGUAAUGCUAAGCUGGCCAUCUUUACCAGGCUUGUAAUUAUCUACAGUGCAGACUUUUCCCUCGUAAGAAAACAGGACACUGCAGAGUUCAUUUCUAGAAAGGUCACUAACACAUCAACAAUUCCCUCACCACUGUGUCUCCCAAGGCUAUAACAUCUUGCUGCCAGACACAGCCCUCCCACCUAACAAGGAUGGAUGGAUUUACUCCAGAGCCUGCAACCUGCCAGCCACUAAACCUACCAGGGAAGCAAAGAAAACUCCUUUCAGCCAUCCCACCUUGUAAAGACCCUGGUUUCCUUGGGCAUAGGACCUUAUGGAUCACAAAGGGUCUCCACAGCAGGACUGCUGAAGUGAUGUGUUUGCCCUAAACACAGGGAGCAGAUCAUAAGAAAGGUUCCCUGGACCAGGUAAAGGUGCUUAUUCAGCCAGAGCACUUGGGAAGCAAUUCCUCCAUUUACAGCCAUGGGAGGAAGCAGCUCCCAGGCCUGUGAGCAGCAAGAACCAGGAGACCAGAGCAGGGAUCCUCCAACAGGACCGUGUCAAACCCUGCAGAGCACACACUGCCUGACAGGGAGCAGCCCUGUCCCCAGGUGGCUCACCCACAGCUCAUAAGCAGUACUUGGUGCUGUACAUUAGAUGAUCAUUAGCUAAAGCUGGUUUGAAAGCUUCCAGUUUUGUAGGUGUUGAUUUACUACAAUCAAUGGGGACUGCAAAAAAACUCCUCAACAUUUUCAGCAAAAAACAGGUCCCUAGGAGACAUUACCCUGCUGAGCAGUCCCUUCUUAUCAGGGUAGGAAUACCUGAGGAGAGCAGUUGUGGGCAAAUCCUGCCCCUCUGAGCACCACCCUCGCUGAGAGGAUGGAUGUUGGCUCUGCCACACAGCACAGGCCUUGGCACAGGGCAGCAGGACACGUGUCACCUCCCUGUGUACCCUGACACUGCCUGGCACACUUUACACACCAGUUGACUUGAGCCUUUCUAACUGGAGUCAGCACAAACCAGCUGCUGACUGCUCAGAGCAGCCAGGGCUGCAGAGGAAGCUGCUCUCAUUUGUCACGAUGAACCCUUUGCAAAACACAAGCAGCUUCAUACUUUCACACGACCUUUGUUGGCUCAGGGGUGAAUCGCCUUCAUCGCUCCUAUCUUAAUCUUCAAAAGGAACUGGUGGGCUCCGGGCAAAGAGUCAAGAAUGCUCUCACAUAUUUGGGAGCUCUGCUUUACGCAACCUCUCCUGCAACUCGCCUUUGCUGGAAGGGAUGAACGAUACUCAGCCAGUCAGCAAAACACCCACCCUGGGCAGGGGGCGGUGCCAGAGCCUGCUGUGAGCCAACCCGCCUGUCCCUGCACACUACAGAGUCGCUGUGGUACAAGCCCGAGAGCGCCAGAACCUGCAGGGAAGGGCCUGGUUCUCUGCUUCCAUCCUAUCAACAGAAAGUGGGGGGAGUCACUUGCACUGUGCAGACACACGUGGCUGCAGCCAGGGCAGUUCUCACCCAGCAAAACUUAGGAUGGGUUCACAGCCAGGGUGGAAUGGAGCACUGUAAAACCCAACCAAAUCCAUCACUGCUCUGCUGGGAACCUAAAAGUGCCAGUGACAUAAAUUCUGCUGUUGUAAACCAAGAGUAACACUGCUGGAGUCAAUGGAGCUAGACUGGUGUGAUGGAGAGGAGAAUAAGCUGGGUAGUGCUGUGUUUGCACUGGUAGGAGAUUACCCCAAAACCAGACCUUUGGAACAACCCACUGAGGGUUGAGAGGUCACCAGAGCCCCAACAGUGCACAAAAGCCCCACAGUUGGCUGCAGCCCUCCCAGCCCUGUCCUGUCUGGCAGAACAAGCAGCCUCAGCUCCCAGAGGUUCCCGCAAGGCCUCUGCCAGGGCCAGGCAGCUCACAGGGAGAGCACCAGUCCCCUGCACAGAGCUGGAGAAAGUCCUUGGGUACCACAGCUCUAUCCAUCUGCUGUUUGUACCCAUUCCUUGUCUCCAGGCCUCUCUGGUGCUGUGGAGAGCACAGGGCUCUCCCUAAUCCACCCACCCCCUUUGUCUGAGGGGCUGGGUGCUCCCUCUCCCACAGGCAGUGAGAAACCUCUGAGCUUACCUGAGCAGCCAGAGCUUGUCCCUGUGGCCGGGCAGGAUCCCAUCACCCUCCCCAGGAGCAACCCCA